AAAAAUUCAAGCUCAGCUUGGUGUUGGGUGUUUGUCCCGCCCUGGUGCGCGGACUCGCCUCAAAAGCAUUGGCAGCCGGUACGUUGGCUUUGAGCGCAGCAGAUUUGCGACUCGGUGCCUGGCGGACUGGCUCUCCAGAAGCCCCCUUUAAA
rnacentral:misc_RNA from 1 species